UACGUAGGGGGCUAGCGUUGUCCGGAAUCAUUGGGCGUAAAGAGCGUGUAGGCGGCCCGGUAAGUCCGCUGUAAAAGUCAAAGGCUCAACCUUUGAAUGUCAGUGGAUACUGCCGGGCUAGAGUCCGGAAGAGGCGAGUGGAACUCCUGGUGUAGCGGUGGAAUGCGCAGAUAUCAGGAAGAACACCAACGGCGAAGGCAGCUCGCUGGGACGGUACUGACGCUGAGACGCGCAAGCGUGGGGAGCAAACAGG
rnacentral:rRNA from 1 species